rnacentral:rRNA from 1 species
UACGUAGGUGGCAAGCGUUGUCCGGAAUCAUUGGGCGUAAAGCGCGUGUAGGCGGCUCGAUAAGUCCGGUGUGAAACCUUGGGGCUCAACCCCAAGCCUGCACUGGAUACUGCCGAGCUAGAGUCCGGGAGGGGAGAGCGGAAUUCCUAGUGUAGCGGUGAAAUGCGCAGAUAUUAGGAAGAACACCGGUGGCGAAGGCGGCUCUCUGGAACGGUACUGACGCUGAGACGCGAAAGCGUGGGGAGCGAACAGG